rnacentral:rRNA from 1 species
AUUGAACGCUGGCGGCAGGCCUAACACAUGCAAGUCGAACGAGUGGCGGACGGGUGAGUAAUGUCUGGGAAACUGCCCGAUGGAGGGGGAUAACUACUGGAAACGGUAGCUAAUACCGCAUACCAUCAGAUGUGCCCAGAUGGGAUUAGCUAGUGGGUGGGGUAACGGCUCACCCAGGCGACGAUCCCUAGCUGGUCUGAGAGGAUGACCAGCCACACUGGAACGGAGACACGGUCCAGACUCCUACGGGAGGCAGCAGUGGGGAAUAUUGCACAAUGGGCGCAAGCCUGAUGCAGCCAUGCCGCGUGUAUGAAGAAGGCCUUCGGGUUGUAAAGUACUUUCAGCGAGGAGGCGUUACGCGCAGAAGAAGCACCGGCUAACUCCGUGCCAGCAGCCGCGGUAAUUC